GACGGGCUCACGGACGAGAGGAGUUUGAGCAGAUGUGCAGGAGAUAAGGAUAGGAGCGCCAGGAGCGCCGUGGAUACAUGGGGAAAGGCAUUCGAUGCAGGAGGCACAGCAGAUGCAAAGGCCCUGCGGUGGAAACAUGCUAGAGGUGCUUUGAGCGACAGCAAGGAGGUCUGACCGGUGGCCGCCACAGCCACACACUAAAUGCACGUCCAUCCACACCUGCCUCUUGUCCUGGGCUCUCUGUUUUGCUCCAUCGCUAGAGCGUUGAUUUCUAUUUUAGUCCCUGACCUCAGAGAUCAAACAGAUUCAGCUGGACUGGCCAUCCAUAUACAGACCAACGCUGGGCUAAGGUGAUGGGCAACCUGGGAAGUGAGGUGUCUUGGGGCCAGGCUCGGGAUUCCCAAAGCAGAAAGCAUGACGUUCCCGAGUAAGUUGACUUACACAUUAAUACUGUCGACUUUUAACUAAUCCUCGUACAUGUGACAGAGGAGUUAAAAAGGGGCUCAAAAAGAAAGCGAAAGCUUAAAAAUAAAGUACAGACACAAAAGCUCA